rnacentral:rRNA from 1 species
ACCCGCUGAACUUAAGCAUAUCAAUAAGCGGAGGAAAAGAAACCAACCGGGAUUACCUCAGUAACGGCGAGUGAAGCGGUAACAGCUCAAAUUUGAAAUCUGGCUCCUGCGGAGUCCGAGUUGUAAUUUGUAGAAGAUGCUUUGGGAGGUAGGGCCGGCCUAAGUUCCUUGGAACAGGACAUCAGAGAGGGUGAGAAUCCCGUAUGCGGCCGCGGCCUACGCCCGUGUAAAGCUCUUUCGACGAGUCGAGUUGUUUGGGAAUGCAGCUCAAAAUGGGUGGUAAAUUUCAUCUAAAGCUAAAUAUUGGCCAGAGACCGAUAGCGCACAAGUAGAGUGAUCGAAAGAUGAAAAGCACUUUGGAAAGAGAGUUAAACAGUACGUGAAAUUGUUGAAAGGGAAGCGCUUGCACCCAGACUUGGGCGUCGUCGAUCAUCCGAGGUUCUCCUCGGUGCACUCGACGAUGCACAGGCCAGCAUCGGUUUGGGUGGUUGGAGAAAGGCUCUAGGAACGUAGCUCUCUUCGGGGAGUGUUAUAGCCUAGGGCGUAAUGCAGCCCAUCCGGACCGAGGACCGCGCCUUCGGGCUAGGAUGCUGGCGUAAUGGUUGCAAGCGACCCGUCUUGAAACACGGACCAAGG